rnacentral:rRNA from 1 species
UCAAACCCAUUCCAACCCCUUAAUUAUAUUGAGCAACUCCAUACUCCAUGGAAGAUAUAAUGCUAGAACUAGUAACAAGAAAUUGAAUUUCUCCAAAAUGAACGCUUAACCCCAACAGGACCAACCAUGGAAAUUUAACGCCUAUAACCUACUACAACAACCCAGCAAGAAAACCUUGUAGCCUACGUCGUUGACCUAACACUAGCUCAUUCCCGGAAAGAUUAAAAAGAGGGGAAGGAACUCGGCAAAUUUAAGUUCCGCCUGUUUACCAAAAACAUCGCCUCUUGCUCAACCAUAAGAGGUCUCGCCUGCCCAGUGAUAAUAUUCAACGGCCGCGGUACCCUAACCGUGCGAAGGUAGCACAAUCACUUGUUCUUUAAAUAAGGACCAGUAUCAACGGCAUCACGAGAACUUUACUGUCUCCCCCCCCCAAUCAGUGAAACUGAUCCCCCCGUGAAGAAGCGGGGAUACUAAUAUAAGACGAGAAGACCCCAUGGAGCUUCAAGCUCACCAGUAAUUCAACGGCAAUACUUCCUACGACCUUCUGAUAUAUACUAGCAAGCUUUAGGUUGGGGCGACCAUGGAGCACAACUUAACCUCCACGAUGUUUUAUUUACUUACCCAUGAACUACUAAUCUAAGGACUUUUAAAACUACCUUAUGACCCAAUUUUUGAUCAACGAACCAAGUUACCCUGGGGAUAACAGCGCAAUCCAUUUUAAGAGCUCAUAUCAACAAAUGGGUUUACGACCUCGAUGUUGGAUCAGGAUAUCCCAGUGGUGCAGCCGCUACCAAAG